rnacentral:rRNA from 1 species
UUGGGAAUCUUGCACAAUGGGGGAAACCCUGAUGCAGCGACGCCGCGUGGAGGACGAAGGGUCUAGGCCUGUAAACUCCUUUUACUCGGAAAGACUUAGGACGGUACCGAGUGAAUAAGGACCGGCUAACUACGUGCCAGCAGCCGCGGUAAGACGUAGGGUCCAAGCGUUGUCCGGAUUUACUGGGCGUAAAGAGCGCGUAGGCGGCUCGUUAAGUGUAGAGUGAAAUCUCUGGGCUCACCCCAGAAACCGCUGUGCGUACUGGCGAGCUGGAGUGUCGGAGAGGUAUGUGGAAUUCCUGGUGUAGCGGUGAAAUGCGUUGAUAUCAGGAGGAACACCCAUGGCGAAGGCAGCAUACUGGCCGACCACUGACGCUGAGGCGCGAAAGCGUGGGUAGCAAACAGGAUUAGAUACCCUGGUAGUCCACGCCCUAAACGAUGGAUACUAGGCGUAAGGGGUAUCGACCCCCCUUGUGCCGCAGCUAACGCACUAAGUAUCCCGCCUGGGGAGUACGGCCGCAAGGUUGA